UUUCCUUAGAAACUCUGGAUGGAUCUCUUGAUGGAGAUCCCAUUGUUUUCUAACCUUAUUUUUCUCUUUCUUUUUUUUUCUUUUUUUUCCAAACAGCGACAAAAUUUCAUGAGAAGUAGUAUAAGGAAAACAUGCAUCAAUUAUCAACAAAAUAAAUAUGUUAUUAAAUAUUUGUGGUAAGAAAUAAUUAGGAAAGCUAUCAUGAACUCAUGCCAACAUGGAAGGGAGGAGAUGCCAAUGGAGAAAAUUUUUCUGAUAUUAAGAGAAGAGUCUAAACCUUUUGUUUUGAUCCCAAGGUUCAACUGCUUCAGCUUUGCAGGUCUCUUGAAUUCAUCGAUGAAGAAAUGGUGGGUUGUAAAAGAAUGGA